rnacentral:sRNA from 1 species
GGGGAUGUUGCUGGCCAUGGCGCUGGCGAGGCGCUCGCAUUGCCGGUCCAGCGUGCCGACCCACCGUUUCGCGCCGAAUGCGAGGCCGGAGUUCACCAAUGGCUUGUAGAUGUUGUGCACCGAGCUGUCGUCCACCUCCACAUGCUCCACCCAUAUUGAAUUAAUUACCUUGGAGUAGCCAUUGGGCAUUUCUUGGAUGAGGCAGCCAGACGGCCUGCGCCGGCAUUUCUGGACAGGGCUGGGGCGGAGGCUGUCGAGAGAGACAUCGACGACGGCCCAUGUCCCGUCGGAGUUGUUCUUGCAGUACCUGACGAAAUAGCUCUCCCUCGUCGGCACCAGCGGCGACGGCACUUGAAACUCCAUUGACAUC